rnacentral:rRNA from 1 species
AUUGAACGCUGGCGGCAUGCUUUACACAUGCAAGUCGAACGGCAGCGCGGGCUUCGGCCUGGCGGCGAGUGGCGAACGGGUGAGUAAUGCAUCGGAACGUGCCCAGUAGUGGGGGAUAGCCCGGCGAAAGCCGGAUUAAUACCGCAUACGACCUGAGGGUGAAAGCGGGGGACCGAAAGGCCUCGCGCGAUUGGAGCGGCCGAUGUCGGAUUAGCUAGUUGGUGGGGUAAAGGCUUACCAAGGCGACGAUCCGUAGCUGGUCUGAGAGGACGACAAGCCACACUGGGACUGAGACACGGCCCAGACUCCUACGGGAGGCAGCAGUGGGGAAUUUUGGACAGAGGGGGCAAACCUGAUCCAGCCAUGCCGCGUGCGGGAAGAAGGCCUUCGGGUUGUAAACCGCUUUUGUUCGGGAAGAAAUCCUCUGGGCUAAUACCCCGGGGGGAUGACGGUACCGGAAGAAUAAGCACCGGCUAACUACGUG